rnacentral:rRNA from 1 species
UAAAAACACCAGUUCCCAUAUGAUAACUGAAGUUAAGCAAUGCCAAGCUUGGCCAGUAUCUAGAUGGGUGAUCACUUGGAAAUACCAGGUGCUA